rnacentral:rRNA from 1 species
GAUGAACGCUGGCGGCGUGCCUAAUACAUGCAAGUCGAGCGAACAGACGAGGAGCUUGCUCCUCUGACGUUAGCGGCGGACGGGUGAGUAACACGUGGAUAACCUACCUAUAAGACUGGGAUAACUUCGGGAAACCGGAGCUAAUACCGGAUAAUAUAUUGAACCGCAUGGUUCAAUAGUGAAAGACGGUUUUGCUGUCACUUAUAGAUGGAUCCGCGCCGCAUUAGCUAGUUGGUAAGGUAACGGCUUACCAAGGCAACGAUGCGUAGCCGACCUGAGAGGGUGAUCGGCCAAACUGGGACUGGGACACGGGCCAGACUCCUACGGGAGGCAGCAGUAGGGAAUCUUCCGCAAUGGGCGGAAGCCUGACGGAGCAACGCCGCGGGAGGGAUGAAGGUCGUCGGGUCGUAAAACUCUGUUAUUAGGGAAGAACAAAUGUGUAAGUAACUAUGCACGUCUUGACGGUACCUAAUCAGAAAGCCACGGCUAACUACGUGC